CCUACGGGAGGCAGCAGUAGGGAAUAUUGCGCAAUGGGGGAAACCCUGAAGCAGCAACGCCGCGUGGAGGAUGAAGGUUUUAGGAUUGUAAAGUCCUUUUGUUAGAGAGGAUGGUGACUGUAUCUAACGAAUAGGCACCGGCUAACUACGUGCCAGCAGCCACGGUAAUACGGAGGGUGCGAGCGUUCAUCGGAAUCACUGGGCGUAAGGAGUGCGGAGGCGGGGUAAUAAGUCAGAUGUGAAAUCCUGUAGCUUAACUAGAGAACUGCAUUUGAUACUGUGACUCUGGAGUGUGUGAGAGGUAGGUAGAAUUCUUGGUGUAGGGGUAAAAUCCGUAGAGAUCAAGAGGAAUACUCAGUGCGAAGGCGACCCGUUGGAACAGUACUGACGCUGAUGUACGAAAGCGUGGGGAGCAAACAGGAUUAGAUACCCCUGUAGUC
rnacentral:rRNA from 1 species